rnacentral:rRNA from 1 species
AUGGUGAUGUUGAUGAAGACGAUCACCGCGGCGAUGAUUCCCCUCCAGAUGGCACUCCGUCCGAACUGUAGCCCAGUCUGUUGCCGGCGCAACUGCUCGUUCGGUUGCUGCUGCACGGGCCAGAGCAGAUGCAAGUGCAAGUGUUGGUGUAGGAUCUUGAGAGGUAAGUAUAGAGGGGGGUGA